rnacentral:ribozyme from 1 species
AAUCAAAAAACCCUUGUGGGCCCCGAAGGUAUUUUGAUAAUUGCAUUUCCACCCUUCCCAAGUCAUGGUUAUACCUGUUACCAAUAA